rnacentral:pre_miRNA from 1 species
AAAGUACUCCCUCUGUCCCAAAAAUCUUAUCUUAUAUUUGUCUAAAUACGGAUGUAUCUAAAUAUAUUUUAGUGUAAGAUACAUCUAUAUCUGGAUAAAUCUAAGACAAGAAUUUUGGGACGGAGGGAGUACAAA